ACUUUGACACGAGGGGGUAGGAUAUCGUCAAGGUUUGAUUACGUAAUUUACAUUCAAUCAUUUAACAUCUAAACAGCAGAAAGUGUUUUUAGAAUUUGAAGAGAUGGUAUGUGUGCCAUGUAUUUUAGCACCAAUCUUGUUGUGGGUGUGGUAUCGCUUUAUUCAGCCUAUUAUAGCCAAAUACUGGAACCCUCAAGUAGCUGAUGCCACCAUUGAGUGCACUCCAGAAGGAUGUAAACUUGUACGUAAGCCAAAAGCAGAACUCAAAUGUCCAGUUACUGCUGAAACAAAAGAAGAGGUCAAAGAGAAUGGGUUGCUCAGUAAUGGAGAAGUAACAGUACAAGAAAAGAAAGAUUUAUGAUUGCUGGAAGAUGACUUAUUACAAAAAAUGUUGACUGUUAUGUAUAUUUUAUGAAUGUAUAUGCACUUGGAUAAAGAAUUACAAGUAAGAAUAUAUUUAAUCUCAUCCUCAGUUAUGUUUCACAGAAUACAGUUGUUUCAAAACAAGUAGUAUGUGUAUCUGGUGAAAAUGUUACAUCAAAAUGAUGUUUGUGUAAUAUAGAAUUGUGUUGUAAUACUCAGCAUGUGUUGAUAUGACAUUUCUUUUCAUGUAUAGGAAGAAAUAUUUAUUACAAAACCAUUUUGUUUUCAUUUUCUUUUGACUUCUAGCAUAUUUUUAAAUUUCUAAUGUAAUCCAAUAUUUCCCUCAUCACCAAACAUGCUUGCCUAUUCAGCUGUGGGAGCAUUAUGAUGUGAAAGACAAUUCCACUCUUCAUUGAUAAAAGAGUAGCCCAAGAGUUGGUAGUGGGUGGUUUUGAUUAGCUGCCUUCCCUUUAGCCUGUUUCUGAUAAAUUAGGGACAGCUAGUGCAGUUAGUGCCAACGAAGGUAAUUUUACAAAAUGUAAAUCUUUUCCACAUUCAAAAGCAAGUGAUAAUUUGUUGAAAUUGUGUGAAUUAGAAAAUGUUUAAUCAACAUAGAGCAUUUUCACUCACGCCAAUAAUAGCCAUAAACACAAUCUGUAGAUCCUCUCACUUAAUAACUGUUUAAAUAUUAAGAGGUUUCACGGAAUAAUGGAAUCUUGAUGGGCUUUCCGAAAAGAAAUCUUUGUUGGUGAGUUCAGUUUUUCAACUUUCACUACUAGAGGGAUAAAAAGUCAGUAUAUUAAAUAAAUAAAGCAUGGGUACAGAUUGAAAUGUGUAGCUUUGUGCAAAAUUCAAAAGAAACCAAACCAAAGAUUUUAAAACUAUUUCAUUCCAUACAUUUUAUUGAAUUUUUUUGUGUGUUAACUUUUUAGUUUCAAUUUGAAUUUUUUAAUAAUGAUUAGUACUUUAGAAGUUUUGUAACAAAAAUCAAAUGGAUUACUGGAAAAGUUUUGAGAAUGUGGUUCUUUACCAUAAUCUAGUGUAUAUUUUCAAAAUGUUUUUAUAGUGUCUGUCUCUGGAGUUUUAUUUGCUUUGAGUGAAUGGCUUCUUGUAUAGAAGGAUUUAGUAAUGAUUAUUAAACUUAUUGUUA